UUCCACUAAUUUCAUCAUAGUCAUAUAAUGAAUGUACAAUUCCUACUAUCUCUAUUGGCAAGCUUUUCUCUGGUUUCAAGAAGCCUUUCUCUUUAAGAAUUCUUUUUAAUUGUCUGACCAUGUAAUUUGGUGCAUAUAUUAUCUUUCUAAUGCUCCAAUUUUCAGGUUUGUAUAGGUUGUAUGUGUAGCGGGUCACCACUAGCAUGGAAAAAAUGCCAACGAAGAAGAAGAGGAAACCAGUUCCAAUGGAGAGAGGGGGAAGAACAUGACCAUUGACCCUUCACUAUGGCUGAGGAAAGCGACUUCUUGCAUCCCGAUAUAUGAAAUGAGACUACUUUUAAAUCCAAUGUUAUUAUCUAGUAUUUAUUUAUUUUUAAAUAAAGUUACUUUGUAAAGUA